CAGUCGCCGCGGUAAUACGGAGGGGGCUAGCGUUGUUCGGAAUUACUGGGCGUAAAGCGUACGUAGGCGGCUUUGUAAGUUAGAGGUGAAAGCCUGGUGCCCAACACCAGAACUGCCUUUAAGACUGCAUCGCUUGAACGUCGGAGAGGUGGGUGGAAUUCCGAGUGUAGAGGUGAAAUUCGUAGUUAUUCGGAAGAACACCAGUGGCGAAGGCGGCUUACUGGCUCAUUCUAGACGCUGAGGUGCGAAAGCGUGGGGAGCAAACAGGAUUAGAUACCCGCGUAGUCCCUGUCUCUUAUAC
rnacentral:rRNA from 1 species